CCCUUGAGUUUGAUCCUGGCUCAGAAUCAACGCUGGCGGCGUGCCUAACACAUGCAAGUCGAACGCGACUGUCCCGCAAGGGACAGUUGAGUGGCAAACGGGUGAGUAACACGUGGGUGACCUGCCUUCGAGUGGGGGAUAACGUCCCGAAAGGGACGCUAAUACCGCAUGACAUCCUGCUCUUGGACGAGCGGAGAUCAAAGCUGGGGAUCGCAAGACCUGGCGCUUGAAGAGGGGCCCGCGCCUGAUUAGCUCGUUGGUGGGGUAACGGCCUACCAAGGCAACGAUCAGUAUCCGGCCUGAGAGGGCGGACGGACACACUGGGACUGAGACACGGCCCAGACUCCUACGGGAGGCAGCAGUGGGGAAUUGUUCGCAAUGGGCGCAAGCCUGACGACGCAACGCCGCGUGGAGGACGAAGAUCUUCGGGUCGUAAACUCCUGUCGAGUGGGAAGAACACUUCCCGGGCGAAUAACCCGGGAGGCUGACGGUACCACUAAAGGAAGCCCCGGCUAACUCCGUGCCAGCAGCCGCGGUAAUACGGGGGGGGCAAGCGUUGUUCGGAAUUACUGGGCGUAAAGGGCUCGUAGGCGGCCAACUAAGUCGGAUGUGAAAUCCCCAGGCUCAACCUGGGAACUGCAUCCGAUACUGGAUGGCUUGAACUCGGGAGAGGGAUGCAGAAUUCCAGGUGUAGCGGUGAAAUGCGUAGAUAUCUGGAGGAAUACGGGUGGCGAAGGCGGCAUCCUGGACCGACAUUGACGCUGAGAGCGAAAGCUAGGGAGCAAACGGGAUAGAUACCCCGGUAGUCUA
rnacentral:rRNA from 1 species